UACGGAGGAUCCAAGCGUUAUCCGGAAUUACUGGGCGUAAAGAGUUGCGUAGGUGGCAUUGUAAGUUGGUAGUGAAAGCGUUCGGCUCAACCGGAUAAACAUUACCAAAACUACAAAGCUAGAGGACGAGAGAGGUUAUUGGAAUUCCUAGUGUAGGAGUGAAAUCCGUAGAUAUUAGGAGGAACACCGAUGGCGUAGGCAGAUAACUGGCUCGUUCCUGACACUAAGGCACGAAAGCGUGGGGAGCAAACGGG
rnacentral:rRNA from 1 species